GUUUGAAUUAGAAACUAAUCACAUGUAUCUCCUCGUGGUAAGUAUCAUAUCAUGUAUGUAGCAGUUUAUAAACAUAUCAAUUUGACAGGUGUUUUGGAUUAACGUGCAGUCACUAUGCUAUACGAGAUACAUUCCUGGGUACAUUAAAUGUUAAAAUCUGUUCUGUUGAUGAAAAAGUGAUAAGGCAUUAGCUGAUAUUUCCGCC
rnacentral:lncRNA from 1 species